rnacentral:ncRNA from 2 species
AGACGUCACGUCGGGAGAGACCGGUUUUUUGCCGGCGCCGAAGGAGCAACCGCCCCGGAAACUCUCAGGCAAAAGGACCGUGUGACGGAC